rnacentral:rRNA from 1 species
GACGAACGCUGGCGGCGUGCUUAACACAUGCAAGUCGAACGGUGAAAGCGGAGCUUGCUCCGCUGGAUCAGUGGCGAACGGGUGAGUAACACGCGGGCAACCUGCCCCUGACUUCGGGAUAACUCCUCGAAAGAGGUGCUAAUACCGGAUACGAAUCCUGCAGGCACCUGCGGGAUUGGAAAGUUUUUCGGUCAGAGAUGGGCCCGCGGCCUAUCAGCUUGUUGGUGAGGUAGUGGCUCACCAAGGCGACGACGGGUAGUCGGCCUGAGAGGGGGACCGGCCACACUGGGACUGAGACACGGCGCAGACUCCUACGGGAGGCAGCAGUGGGGAAUAUUGCGCAAUGGGCGAAAGCCUGACGCAGCAACGCCGCGUGAGGGAUGACGGCCUUCGGGUUGUAAACCUCUUUCAGCAGGGAAGAAGCGAAAGUGACGGUACCUGCAGAAGAAGCACCGGCUAACUACGUGCCAGCAGCCGCCGUAA